GCGGACGUACCGAAGUGGUCAAACGGGACAGACUCAAGAUCUGUUAGCUUAGUGCUUUCGCAGGUUCGAAUCCUGCCGUCCGCA
rnacentral:tRNA from 1 species